rnacentral:rRNA from 1 species
AUACGGGAGGCAGCAGUGGGGAAUUUUGGACAAUGGGCGCAAGCGUGAUCCAGCCAUUCCGCGUGCAGGAAGAAGGCCCUCGGGUUGUAAACCUCUUUUGUACAGAAAGAAAAGGCUGGGGUUAAUACCCUGGGGCUCAUGACGGUACUGUAAGAAUAAGCACCGUCUAACUACGUGCCAGCAGCCGCGGUAAUACGUAGGGUGCAAGCGUUUAUCGGAAUUAGUGGGUGUAAAGCGUGCGCAGGCGGUUAUGUAAGACAGAGGUGAAAUCCCCGGGCUCAACCUGGGAACUGCCUUUGUGACUGCAUCUCUAGAGUGCGGCAGAGGGGGGUGGAAUUCCGCGUGUAGCAGUGAAAUGCGUAGAUAUGGGGAGGAACACCGAUGGCGAAGGCAACCCCCUGGGCCUGCACUGACGCUCACGCACGAAAGCGUGGGGAGCAAACAGGAUUAGAUACCCUGGUAGUCCACGCCCUAAACGAUGUCAACUGGUUGGUGGGUCUUCACUGACUCAGUAACGAAGCUAACGCGUGAAG